CUCCAAGAUGUUAGGUUUCAGUAGCCUUGAUAUUAUUGUGUGUGUGUUCUUUGCGUUAUUUGGCUAAAGUUACAAUAACCGACCACGCUUAGCACCAAGAAGGCAGUUUAUUUAUACUUGUUAACACUCCCACUGUGUUGAGAACCUACCAGUCUGAAGAAAUGCCAGAACAUGUGCCAGGGUAAGUAACUCGAAAGAUCAGUGAUUUACUGUAGUUGAUUAAAAAAAAAUCUGUAGUAGAAUAAUGUUGAUAUUGAUCAUACAUAGAACUCCUCAGUAUACUGUCAAAUUGUAACGUUUAGGUUACAGCUCAUGCUUUUUAUUCUCCACAGGUGGAUUUUGAAUACACACCACUGGUAACAUCCAUCUGUUGUGUUAAUAUAAAAUAGACAAACACAAACUACAAACUUACACAUUCAAACACAUGAGCGCAUUCACCCACGCAAACACAUCAAUUGCCGCCACGCCACAGAAAAAUACAAACAGGAAAACAGGCAACAGCAUAUUUAAAAUAGUAAAUGUGACAGUUUUCUAACCACUGAGGCCACUCACUUUCAAAGCAAUGACUCACAAUCAGACGCAUGGAGGACUGAACCGUACAAACAAGCUGGUGGGACAGGUGUCUGGGGGCAACAAAACCAGGAUGAAACAAAGAAGGUGCAAGGGAGCCUUUCGGUUGCUCAAUGUCCUGCCCUGUCUCCCGAGACCAGCAACCCUUAAUUAAUAAGAUGGUGGCUGUUUGCAAAAUGAAUCUAAAUUGCACAUUCCAACCAAAUAUUACCAGCGCACGGCUCCCUAUAACAUUAUACUGAUAAUGUUGACUGGUUAUAAAAAAUAUCUAAUCAGGUAAACCUGGUUGAUUUGGAUUAUUGCUGCUUGUGUGCAUUUUGGUCCUUUUAAGUCAUUUGAUUUCAAAAUCUGUAAUCGACUGAUAACCAAAUGCAUCACUAACGUGAUGUAUUUACAUCUUGUGAACUACAUUGAUGAUGAAUGUAUCUGAAUAUAUAACACUCAUUAUUUCUUCUGCCCAUAAAUUGAUCCAAAUCUGAUCAAUGACAAAGGUGUUGAGCUGUCAAGAAUCCCAAGUGAUUCCACUGCUCAUAGAGCUGAAAUAUCUGCUUUUAACAAGGCUCUGUGACAUUUACCCCUGGUGGAUCCCUGAAGAGUAAUUUAAGGUUAUGGAGGAGGGGCACAGACAGGAUUAGAGCCCAUCAACAGCCUCAUCACUCUCCUCUUCACGGUUUACAACCACCUGACACACACGUGGGGAUAGGGGUUCCGGUGGCCUCAAGCUCUUGAUUCCCUCCAAAAGCGCUGCAACCAUGGUUGUGUUGUUGUCCAUAAUGGUGGUCAGCAAUCGCUCCUGCCAAGCAUCGCUUUCCUUCAGCUGCUCUCUCCAGAACUCCCUCAUUUCAGCCAUGUGUUGGCUAAUUACGUCGACAUCCCUUGUAUGCCGUUGCAUCCUCCGACCGGGCGCCUGGACACUUGUGCC
ensembl:lncRNA